ACUGAAAGCGACCUGCAUUGGGUUUAUUGCAGCAAAUUCCUCCUAGCUGCGCUUCGUCGCCUGCUCAUGUGUCUGGAAAGGUAGAUGGAAAGAACUUCCCGACUCCGCAGGAUUACACACGAGCACUAGACAUCAGCAACCUGCUGGGGCGAACUCUGAGCGUGUAGCAAUCCCUCACAUCCUCUUUUCGUCCCUUGAACGCAUUGGACGAUAAAUUUACGUUCUCUUUUGUAUAUGCUUCAAUAGACUGGAUCGAUUUGACAAUGUUGAUUUAUGGUAGGGCCUUACCUUUAAUGCUAGUGUGUGUGUUGUUUUUGGAGCAGGAUGGCUCCUACAAAAAGGUCAAGAGCAAAAAUUUGUCAUAAAUGGAGCAAGCAUAAUGCCUUUUUGUUUAUUGAAAAAUUGUCACAAAAACAGCAUGCUCGAUUGUUUGCUGUGAGUCAGAAUUCUGGAAAUACUCAAUGCUGUUCUGAGUAAACUGACCAUAUAUGGUCUUUUGCAAGACAAAAGACAACUGAACAAAAACAAUCCUGUUCCUUCAAAUUAUCCUUGACAUAAGUGUGGCAAGUUGGCAACACUUUUUAAAAUUACCUUAUCAAUAGAUUUUACAACACUUUUUAAAAGUACCUGAUCAUUGGAUUUAGCAUAGUUGUUAAUUUUUCAUCUUAUCUUUGAAACUAGACAACAAUUAAGUUGUUUUAUUUAGACCAUUUGUGGAGUGUGGAGAUGACUUGUGAAUGAUAUGUAUUGUUUGUACAGUAUGUACUAUUUUUAUGAGGUGUAUGUAAGAUGCACAAAAAAAUUCCCUUGCGUGACAAGCUUCAUGGACCUGCCUAAGUUUGGAAUUGAAUAGACGCCUCUCGUUUCAAACAAUGUGUUUUAACAAUGUGUUUAAAUUUUGUUUUUGUUACACACUUAAUCCAUUAAAAUGAAAAAAAAUUAUUAAGUAAAAAGGACUACAGUAUACAUAUAAAAAAACAAUUCAACUAGUUUAAUGAUUUUUACUUGUUUUAUUAAAUUGAUGGGAAAACACCCAAUUGUUCAAAAUGGAAAACACAAGAGUGGAGUUCUGCAGUGUCAUCAACAACACCAUGAUGCUCAACUUUCCAGAAGCUGCUAAAUCAUUCAUUAAAAGCAGCCGUUCUUUGGCCGUAACAGGUGUGGUUCCAAUGCUAUCAGAACAUCACCUUUAACCAAAUAGUUUGUGGGUAAUGUGACACUUCAACAAAACAAAACGCAGGGAAAUGAUUCCAGUCUCGAUAGCAAGUGCAGGAUGAGCAAUCUUUGUACAGAUUGGCCAAGGCCUCUGGUGAGCAAUUGACAAUAAGGCAAAUGCAGCAGAAAACAGUGGAGGACACAUGUCACAUAAAUGAAUAAUCUAAAUUGACACCUCUGUGGGGGUUAAAAUGGAUAUGUAAAAUCAAGUUGUGUGGGCUCAUCUUUUAUACACUAGAUAUAUUUGGUUAAUCUGAAAGGUACUUCAUUUGGAAACAACCUUGUCAAUAAUCAGAGCACUCCCAACUACCUCACCCAGUUACUAUAUAUAAAACAUGCCCUCAACCGGUGUGUGUGUGUGUGUGUGUGUGUGUGUAUAUAUAUAUAUAUAUAUAUAUACGAUAUGGACAAUGCUCUCAAAGUGGCUGACAGAACAAAGAUUAUGCGUGUCCUCAGGAACUGAAACCCAGUCAUCCAGCCAACAUGUAAACAGGCCAGCUAGACUUGUUUAACUGGUGUAAGAUGAGACUGGAACGAGUCGGUGGGAAAGGCGACAGCAUCACAUUAGACAGGCAGUGAGCUCCAGAAAAACAUUAUUAAAUUAUAAAGUAUAUCACACCAAUAAAAGAUUAAUAUUACAGUUCAGGUCAGCCAAGCAAGAAAGGAGAAUGACUCUAUGUUGUUAGCUUCAGAACAUGUCCAAAUUAAAUUGAUACAAGGUAAGAGUAAAUGUUUUGUUUCAGCUGUUUCUAUAAAGUCAGAGCCUUGAACAUGUUUUACUUUCUGUUCUCAUGUGUAAUGUCAGCCUGUGAUUGUUAAGAUACUUAAGUCUUCUUCUUCAGCUCCUCAAAGCGUCGCGUUAGGUCAUCAAAGUCGAUGUCAUCCGAAGUGCUUGUGGUGGUCUUCCCGCCGAAGGAGCCUGCUGGGAGUGUGUCUGGGACCGAAGGAAGUUCUGGGAGAGCGUUGUUGCCAUAUAUUUGUGACGGCUGACCUGCAGUGGAACAUGUGGGGGCUGUCAAAUGAGCUGGAAACAAUGUUUUGCUAUUUUAUUUUGGACAGUGACAUGACAAAGCAUAACACAGGUACAUGACAAGUCAAAUGUAGCAACAUUGUCCUCUGAAUAACAUUUGGUAGAGCUUCCUUUUGCUUAAAUUAGAGACAUUGAUCUUUAUGGAUAAGUCUCAAUUAGCUUUGCCCGCUUAGAUAAUUAUUUGCCCAUUCUUCCUUGCAGAAUUGCUCGACUUCAAAUUGUCAAGGUAUCAGCGAUGGUCUGCUCUCGUCAAGAUAAUCCUGGUCCAGUUAAUAUAACAAAUGGUGUUGGGGAGCCAUGCCAUUGAGCCAUUGCUAUGACAGUGAAUAGCAUUUUCCAUGACAUAUUUCAUGAGAUGAACCUCUGGGUUUCAAGGGCCAUACUGAAUACAGUAAUUAGUAAGACUUACCUAUGGUCUGGGAUGGAACAGAGUUUUUUAUGUCAUCAAUCUGAAACAGAAGAAGGGUGCCUGUGACAACAUCGCCUUAUAAGAAUGUCGGUUAUAAUGUGUUAGUGCUUAGUGUAGGAAAAGAAACAAAGGUAACAUGCUUGUGGCGCUCAACGAGAAACCAACACCUUUAGUGUGCAUCAGCCUUCGGGCUAGCUUGAGUCUCCGCUGCAGCACUCUUCUCAGUCCUAUCUAAUCCCAGGUCAGUUAGUGGGAUCACUGAGUUGUUAGUGCUUAGAAUAUGUACAAGCCAUUCAUGCUGCCUACUUAUGUGCACACAAAGCAAAAAUGUCAGCCUAUUCAGGGAAAGUGGCAGAAGUGCAGAGGUAAAAGCUGAAGCUAAGUGAACAACUCUUCCCUGAGUGAUGCCCUGCCUGCCCUGUCCAUCCUGUCCGUCUUUGGGAACAGGGAGGGAUCAUGGAUGGGAUGAGUUGGGUGACUUACAGACUCGUAUGUGGGGGGAGAAGUGGGCAGCUGAGGGGGCUGCCCUCCUCCCACAGAGGGCGGGAAGCUGUUGUACGAUCCAAUGGCUGGAGCGAACGGUUCCUGGAGGAAAACAUGACCACGAAUUUCACUCAUCAAACAAAUAGGGUUAGGAAUCACGACGUGACCUGCAAACACGUGUGAUCAGAUUUUUCAAAAGACAACGAUAACUGACAAUUUAGCAUCGUUUCAAACUAUAUUUUUGCAAAGUUAAUCAUCUUCUAAGUGAACAUCUAUUUUCUGUACUUUGUACAUUAUCCAAGGUUGUCAACACUUGGUUCUUUAAAAUAAUGUCAUUCAGCUACAUUUGUGAACUUGUCUGGACGCUCUGGGGGAAAACAAAGGAGCAGUGAGAAACAGAGCAAGCACAUGUGUGACUUUGCAAAAAUUGGUCUCAUUAGUUGUUUAAAUACACUAGUUUAAAAAAAAAAAAAAAAGCAAAACAAAAUAUUUCACCGUCUAGUUUUUUCAUGUCAGUGUGACGUAUUCAAUUGAAUGAAUUCCUUUCAAUAGAAUUAAAAAUGCUAUAUACAACAUGACUGAAAGUGUCUAAUAAUGCACAUGGUUAGAAUCUAAACAAGGGUUUGAAAAUAUUGAUCUUACUCCUUUGGGAGUUGGAUAGUUGAAAGGCGUAGGCAUGGGCAUGGGCAUCGGCAUGGGCAUUGGCAUGGGCAUGACAGGAGCCAUGAAACCACCACCACCACCACCACCACCGCCUCCGCCUCUGCCUCCCCCUCCGGACUUCUUGUCAUUGUUCAUGUCGAUCAGGUCUGCUUCAUCACAACUCACCUCAGGCUGUCAGGGAGAAAAUGUUAUGACGCUAACUAAAAGACAACAUCCUGAUUGGGACCUCAAUCUAUUCUUACCCGGACCAUGGCAUCAGGUUCAUACGGCACAUUGUAAUUUUUGGCUAUCUCAAUCAAGUAGCGCUCCACCAAGAUUUUAGGGGGAGACUCCACGCUCAGUUUGUGAAUCAGCUGCAAGCAUAUCAGACAUUUUAUCAGACUUGGAGUGCUGGCAUAUUUCUUGGCUUAAAAGAGUCAAGGGAGUC